CCGGACGUUAGUUUGUUAAAGGUUCCCAACAAACCAACAAUACAACCGUUAGUUUGUUAAAGGUUCCCAACAAACCAACAAGACAACCGUUAGUUUAUUAAAGGUUCCCAACAAACCAACAAGACAACCGUUAGUUUGUUAAAGGUUCCCGACAAACCAACAAGACAACCGUUAGUUUGUUAAAGGUUCCCGACAAACCAAAGACAACCGUUAGUUUGUUAAAGGUUCCCGACAAACCAAAGACAACCGUUAGUUUGUUAAAGGUUCCCAACAAACCAACAAGACAACCGUUAGUUUGUUAAAGGUUCCCAACAAACCAACAAGACAACCGUUAGUUUGUUAAAGGUUCCCAACAAACCAACAAUACAACCGUUAGUUUGUUAAAGGUUCCCGACAAACCAACAAGACAACCGUUAGUUUGUUAAAGGUUCCCAACAAACCAAAGACAACCGUUAGUUUGUUAAAGGUUCCCGACAAACCAACAAGACAACCGUUAGUUUGUUAAAGGUUCCCAACAAACCAAAGACAACCGUUAGUUUGUUAAAGGUUCCCGACAAACCAACAAUACAACCGUUAGUUUGUUAAAGGUUCCCGACAAACCAACAAGACAACCGUUAGUUUGUUAAAGGUUCCCAACAAACCAAAGACAACCGUUAGUUUGUUAAAGGUUCCCAACAAACCAACAAUACAACCGUUAGUUUGUUAAAGGUUCCCAACAAACCAACAAUACAACCGUUAGUUUGUUAAAGGUUCCCGACAAACCAAAGACAACCGUUAGUUUGUUAAAGGUUCCCAACAAACCAACAAGACAACCGUUAGUUUGUUAAAGGUUCCCGACAAACCAAAGACAACCGUUAGUUUGUUAAAGGUUCCCAACAAACCAACAAGACAACCGUUAGUUUGUUAAAGGUUCCCAACAAACCAACAAGACAACCGUUAGUUUGUUAAAGGUUCCCAACAAACCAACAAUACAACCGUUAGUUUGUUAAAGGUUCCCGACAAACCAACAAGACAACCGUUAGUUUGUUAAAGGUUCCCAACAAACCAACAAUACAACCGUUAGUUUGUUAAAGGUUCCCGACAAACCAACAAGACAACCGUUAGUUUGUUAAAGGUUCCCAACAAACCAACAAUACAACCGUUAGUUUGUUAAAGGUUCCCGACAAACCAAAGACAACCGUUAGUUUGUUAAAGGUUCCCAACAAACCAAAGACAACCGUUAGUUUGUUAAAGGUUCCCGACAAACCAACAAGACAACCGUUAGUUUGUUAAAGGUUCCCAACAAACCAAAGACAACCGUUAGUUUGUUAAAGGUUCCCAACAAACCAAAGACAACCGUUAGUUUGUUAAAGGUUCCCGACAAACCAAAGACAACCGUUAGUUUGUUAAAGAUUCCCGACAAACCAAAGACAACCGUUAGUUUGUUAAAGGUUCCCGACAAACCAACAAGACAACCGUUAGUUUGUUAAAGGUUCCCGACAAACUAACAGUA